GGGGGAGGACCAAGAACGGCGCGGCGCACUUCGCCGUCAGCCCCGAGCUGAUCCAGAGCAGGAACAGGAUCUACCUCAGGGGCACCGUCAGCAAGGAGCUCCUCACGCACAAGCAGGUCGUCCACCUCUCCCACAAGAUCAAGGAUGGCAUCUGGCUGCAGCAGCAAAGAUCAAAGCUGAAAGAGAAGCUGGGAAAUGAGCCCUCAUACAAACAGCUGGCGCAUUCGCUGAAGAUAUCACCGCCCGAGCUACGAUCAAGGAUGCACGAGUCGUUUCUUG
rnacentral:misc_RNA from 1 species